CUAAACGAUGUCAACUAGUUGUUGGGGAUUCAUUUCUUCAGUAACGUAGCUAACGCGUGAAGUUGACCGCCUGGGGAGUACGGUCGCAAGAUUAAAACUCAAAGGAAUUGACGGGGACCCGCACAAGCGGUGGAUGAUGUGGAUUAAUUCGAUGCAACGCGAAAAACCUUACCUACCCUUGACAUGCCACUAACGAAGCAGAGAUGCAUUAGGUGCCCGAAAGGGAAAGUGGACACAGGUGCUGCAUGGCUGUCGUCAGCUCGUGUCGUGAGAUGUUGGGUUAAGUCCCGCAACGAGCGCAACCCUUGUCUCUAGUUGCUACGAAAGGGCACUCUAGAGAGACUGCCGGUGACAAACCGGAGGAAGGUGGGGAUGACGUCAAGUCCUCAUGGCCCUUAUGG
rnacentral:rRNA from 1 species